rnacentral:rRNA from 1 species
CCUACGUAGAGCAGCAGUGGGGAAUAUUGCACAAUGGGGGAAACCCUGAUGCAGCGACGCCGCAUGAGUGAAGCAGUAUUUCGGUAUGUAGAGCUCUAUCAGCCGGGAAGAAAAUGACGGUACCGGAUUAAGCAGCCCCUGCGAACUACGUGCCAGCCGCCGCGGUAAUCAGUAGGGGGCAAGCGUUAUCCGGAUUUACUGGGUGUAAAGGGAGCGUAGACGGCAGCACAAGUCUGUAGUGAAAUGCCGGGGCUCAACCCCGGAACUGCUUUGGAAACUGUGCAGCUAGAGUGCAGGAGAGGUAAGUGGAAUUCCUAGUGUAGCGGUGAAAUGCGUAGAUAUUAGGAGGAACACCAGUGGCGAAGGCGGCUUACUGGACUGUAACUGACGUUGAGGCCCGAAAGCGUGGUGAGCAAACAGGAUUAGAUACCCGAGUAGUC